UUUUUUGUCCACUUUGUAAAUUAAGAAGUUUUAUUUCAUAUGGUUUGUAUGCUUCUUAAUUUUGCACAAGUCAUCACAAACCAAUACAACGAUGACUCUGGUUAUUUUUAGUGAAUUCCGUGAAGGAAAGAAUUGAAGAAAUUCGAAGUGAAAGAGCAGAAAGUCUUGAUGAACCUUCACCAAAUGAUGCACUUGGCAUAGUAUUUGGUCCCGAGCACCCCGGCCGUGUUCGAGGUUUAGGCUUGGGUGUAGUUCCAACUGUAGCAUUCAAACAGACAUCUGCGAGAUAUCGUCGUGCUUAUGUGGGUUCAUCUAGCACUACCGCUCCAACUCCGGCGUGGCAGCAAGCGAUGACAAAUGUGAAAUCAAAACUAAAUGCACUAAUUAGCUUAUAUGAAAGGAACAUAGGGAAUAUCCCCGAGGAGUUUGCUCACUUAUUUUCCACUCCUCCACAGGCACCAGAUUUAGGAAGUGAUGCACCAGUUGAACCAAGAAGAUCUUUAGAUGAAAGUAACAACGAUGAUCGUCCAAGUGUGAAUUAGUGAUUAUUUUAUAGGAUCAACUAUGGAUCUUUUGGAUA